rnacentral:rRNA from 1 species
GCAAGUCGAACGGUAAGAUCUCGCUUGCGAGAGAUGACGAGUGGCGCACGGGUGCGUAACGCGUAUGCAACCUACCCUUUACUGAGGGAUAGCCCGGAGAAAUUCGGAUUAAUACCUCAUGGUAUCAUCAGAUGGCAUCUGAAGAUGAUUAAAGAUUUAUCGGUAAAGGAUGGGCAUGCGUGACAUUAGCUAGUUGGUGAGGUAACGGCUCACCAAGGCAACGAUGUCUAGGGGUUCUGAGAGGAUGAUC